UCCGGUUUGGCACCGGCAGUCUCCCAUGAGUCCCCGACAUUACUCGCUGGCAACAUGGGACAGGGGUUGCGCUCGUUGCGCCACUUAAGGCAACACCUCACGGCACGAGCUGACGACAGCCAUGCACCACCUGUGCGGGCUCCGAAGAGCGCCGUGUUUCCACGGCUUCACCCCGCAUGUCAAGCCCUGGUAAGGUUCUUCGCGUUGCGUCGAAUUAAGCAACAUGCUCCGCCGCCUGUGCGGACCCCCGUCAAUUCCUUUGAGCUUCACCCUUGCGGGCGUACUCCCCAGGUGGCGAACUUAACGGUUUCCCUUGGACGCUGACUGUGUAUCGCCAACAUCGAGUUCGCAUCGUUUACAGCGUGGACUAC
rnacentral:misc_RNA from 1 species